UGAGGAAUAUUGCGCAAUGAGCGAAAGCUAGACGCAGCAACGCCGCGUGGACGAUGAAGGCCUUCGGGUCGUAAAGUCCUUUUCAGAGGGACGAGUGAGGACGGUACCUCUGGAAUAAGUCACGGCUAACUACGUGCCAGCAGCCGCGGUAAAACGUAGGUGGCGAGCGUUAUCCGGAUUCACUGGGCGUAAAGCGCCUGCAGGCGGUCUCGUAAGUGGGAUGUGAAAUCUCCUGGCUUAACUGGGAGGGGCCAUUCCAUACUGCGAGGCUUGAGGGCAGAAGAGGGAAGCGGAAUUCCCGGUGUAGUGGUGAAAUGCGUAGAUAUCGGGAGGAACACCAGUGGCGAAGGCGGCUUCCUGGCCUGCUCCUGACGCUAAGAGGCGAAAGCUAGGGGAGCGGACGGGAUUAGAAACCCCGGUAGUCCUAGCUAUAAACGAUGGAUACUGGGUGUCGGUGGUCCUAACCCCAUCGGUGCCGAAGCUAACGCGUUAAGUAUCCCGCCUGGGGACUACGGCCGCAAGGUUA
rnacentral:rRNA from 1 species